GCGGGUAUAGUUUAGUGGUAAAAC
rnacentral:ncRNA from 5 species